CCUCUUCCAGUUAAACAAUGCCAUGUCUUAUUAGUUUAGGCUGCUAUAACAGAGUACCAAAAACUGGGUGACAUAUAAAUGACAAAUUUAUUUCUCACAGUUCUGGAGGCUGGGAAGGCCAAGAUCAAAGAGCCAGCAGAUUCAGUGUCUGGUGAGAGCUUGCCUCCUGGUUCAUAGACUGCCAUCUUCUCACUGUGUCCUCACUCGGCAAGGAUUUGACUGCUACCACCAUCCUAUGGCAGGCUUGAACUCACGACCCCAAGAUCAAGACCUGAGCUGAAAUCAGGAGUCAGAUGCUUAACCAACUGAGCCCCGCAGAUCAAGAACACAAAGUCAACAUAAAGCACAGAACAUUAUUCUGGUGAGAUCAGGAUCUGCUACCUGGGCGUAAAAGGUAAAUAGUAACUUUUUAUUGCUAUUUACAGUAACUACAGUAACUAACAGUAACUAUUUAUUUAUUAUAUAAAUAUAUAUAUAUAUAUAUUUUCAGUAUACAAGUCUUCAUAUAUAUGUAUUCAGUAUACAAGUCUCUCUCUCU
rnacentral:lncRNA from 1 species